GUGUGUGUUAGUGGAAGCGUCUGGAAAGGCGCGCGAUACAGGGUGACAGCCCCGUACACAAAAAUGCACAUAUUGUGAGCUCGAUGAGUAGGGCGGGACACGUGGUAUCCUGUCUGAAUAUGGGGGGACCAUCCUCCAAGGCUAAAUACUCCUGACUGACCGAUAGUGAACCAGUACCGUGAGGGAAAGGCGAAAAGAACCCCGGCGAGGGGAGUGAAAAAGAACCUGAAACCGUGUACGUACAAGCAGUGGGAGCCUCUUAAUGGGGUGACUGCGUACCUUUUGUAUAAUGGGUCAGCGACUUAUAUUCUGUAGCAAGGUUAACCGAAUAGGGGAGCCGAAGGGAAACCGAGUCUUAACUGGGCGUUAAGUUGCAGGGUAUAGACCCGAAACCCGGUGAUCUAGCCAUGGGCAGGUUGAAGGUUGGGUAACACUAACUGGAGGACCGAACCGACUAAUGUUGAAAAAUUAGCGGAUGACUUGUGGCUGGGGGUGAAAGGCCAAUCAAACCGGGAGAUAGCUGGUUCUCCCCGAAAGCUAUUUAGGUAGCGCCUCGUGAAUUCAUCUCCGGGGGUAGAGCACUGUUUCGGCAAGGGGGUCAUCCCGACUUACCAACCCGAUGCAAACUGCGAAUACCGGAGAAUGUUAUCACGGGAGACACACGGCGGGUGCUAACGUCCGUCGUGAAGAGGGAAACAACCCAGACCGCCAGCUAAGGUCCCAAAGUCAUGGUUAAGUGGGAAACGAUGUGGGAAGGCCCAGACAGCCAGGAUGUUGGCUUAGAAGCAGCCAUCAUUUAAAGAAAGCGUAAUAGCUCACUGGUCGAGUCGGCCUGCGCGGAAGAUGUAACGGGGCUAAACCAUGCACCGAAGCUGCGGCAGCGACACUAUGUGUUGUUGGGUAGGGGAGCGUUCUGUAAGCCUGUGAAGGUGGCCUGUGAGGGUUGCUGGAGGUAUCAGAAGUGCGAAUGCUGACAUAAGUAACGAUAAAGCGGGUGAAAAGCCCGCUCGCCGGAAGACCAAGGGUUCCUGUCCAACGUUAAUCGGGGCAGGGUGAGUCGACCCCUAAGGCGAGGCCGAAAGGCGUAGUCGAUGGGAAACAGGUUAAUAUUCCUGUACUUGGUGUUACUGCGAAGGGGGGACGGAGAAGGCUAUGUUGGCCGGGCGACGGUUGUCCCGGUUUAAGCGUGUAGGCUGGUUUUCCAGGCAAAUCCGGAAAAUCAAGGCUGAGGCGUGAUGACGAGGCACUACGGUGCUGAAGCGACAAAUGCCCUGCUUCCAGGAAAAGCCUCUAAGCAUCAGGUAACAUCAAAUCGUACCCCAAACCGACACAGGUGGUCAGGUAGAGAAUACCAAGGCGCUUGAGAGAACUCGGGUGAAGGAACUAGGCAAAAUGGUGCCGUAACUUCGGGAGAAGGCACGCUGAUAUGUAGGUGAAGCGACUUGCUCGUGGAGCUGAAAUCAGUCGAAGAUACCAGCUGGCUGCAACUGUUUAUUAAAAACACAGCACUGUGCAAACACGAAAGUGGACGUAUACGGUGUGACGCCUGCCCGGUGCCGGAAGGUUAAUUGAUGGGGUUAGCGGUAACGCGAAGCUCUUGAUCGAAGCCCCGGUAAACGGCGGCCGUAACUAUAACGGUCCUAAGGUAGCGAAAUUCCUUGUCGGGUAAGUUCCGACCUGCACGAAUGGCGUAAUGAUGGCCAGGCUGUCUCCACCCGAGACUCAGUGAAAUUGAACUCGCUGUGAAGAUGCAGUGUACCCGCGGCAAGACGGAAAGACCCCGUGAACCUUUACUAUAGCUUGACACUGAACAUUGAGCCUUGAUGUGUAGGAUAGGUGGGAGGCUUUGAAGUGUGGACGCCAGUCUGCAUGGAGCCGACCUUGAAAUACCACCCUUUAAUGUUUGAUGUUCUAACGUGGGCCCCUAAUCGGGGUUGCGGACAGUGUCUGGUGGGUAGUUUGACUGGGGCGGUCUCCUCCUAAAGAGUAACGGAGGAGCACGAAGGUUGGCUAAUCCUGGUCGGACAUCAGGAGGUUAGUGCAAUGGCAUAAGCCAGCUUGACUGCGAGCGUGACGGCGCGAGCAGGUGCGAAAGCAGGUCAUAGUGAUCCGGUGGUUCUGAAUGGAAGGGCCAUCGCUCAACGGAUAAAAGGUACUCCGGGGAUAACAGGCUGAUACCGCCCAAGAGUUCAUAUCGACGGCGGUGUUUGGCACCUCGAUGUCGGCUCAUCACAUCCUGGGGCUGAAGUAGGUCCCAAGGGUAUGGCUGUUCGCCAUUUAAAGUGGUACGCGAGCUGGGUUUAGAACGUCGUGAGACAGUUCGGUCCCUAUCUGCCGUGGGCGCUGGAGAACUGAGGGGGGCUGCUCCUAGUACGAGAGGACCGGAGUGGACGCAUCACUGGUGUUCGGGUUGUCAUGCCAAUGGCACUGCCCGGUAGCUAAAUGCGGAAGAGAUAAGUGCUGAAAGCAUCUAAGCACGAAACUUGCCCCGAGAUGAGUUCUCCCUGACUCCUUGAGAGUCCUGAAGGAACGUUGAAGACGACGACGUUGAUAGGCCGGGUGUGUAAGCGCAGCGAUGCGUUGAGCUAACCGGUACUAAUGAACCGUGAGGCUUAACCUU
rnacentral:rRNA from 1 species